CCUACGGGUGGCAGCAGUGAGGAAUAUUGGUCAAUGGACGAGAGUCUGAACCAGCCAAGCAGCGUGAAGGAUGACUGCCCUAUGGGUUGUAAACCUCUUUUAUAUGGGAAUAAAACAGGGUAUGCAUACCCUCCUGUAUGUACCAUAUGAAUAAGGAUCGGCUAACUCCGUGCCAACAGCCGCGGUAAUACGGAGGAUCCGAGCGUUAUCCGGAUUUAUUGGGUUUAAAGGGUGCGUAGGCGGAAGGUUAAGUCAGCGGUAAAAUGUCGGUGCUCAACACCGGCCUGCCGUUGAAACUGGUAGUCUUGAGUGAGCGAGAAGUAUGCGGAAUGCGUGGUGUAGCGGUGAAAUGCAUAGAUAUCACGCAGAACUCCGAUUGCGAAGGCAGCAUACCGGCGCUCAACUGACGCUGAGGCACGAAAGCGUGGGGAUCGAACAGGAUUAGAUACCCUAGUAGUC
rnacentral:rRNA from 1 species